CCAGCGGCAGCUUGCAGCACUCAAAUAGCAGAACUUCAUACAGCAAAAAUUAAUUCAAAAUUGUGCGGUGCCGCUUUACAUAUAGUUUCUCCGGAACAUGGAAUUUUACACAUUUCCGAUUAUGCGAAACUUCAUCUUGCUUAGGAGAGAAUGAGCCCUUUGGGCCCAGGUCAGCGAAGACUUUCACGAUCACCACGUAGUCAAAGAAGUAGAAGUGCGGACGUUGAUUGUUUAAAAAAAUUCGCGGAACGUAAAUUAUAUGAAGAAAGAAAAUUGCCAGACGUUUGUGAUUAUAAUAAAUUUGAUUCAACAUCGCGACUAAUGCCAUUGUCGAGCGAUGAUAAUGAUGUUAUUAUUAAUCGUCCAAAAUCAUCAACUCGCGUUUACGUUGAGUUUCAUCAGAAAAAUGAUUUUGAACCUGAACGAACGAAAAUUCAGGAUUCAAAUCGAUGGCUACCGGUUAUUAAUCGAAAAGUAUGUCCCGAAAAUAUUGAUGAACAUAAAUACGCUAAACAACCUGCAAGUCGUAGUUUAAGUUCCGAAAGUGGUUAUUCAAGGCAGGACAAUUAUUUUCGUGAGAGAAAAAAUUCACAAUUUGAACUUUAUGGAAGGGAAACUUUUGAAAAAACAAGAUGGUUAUUGUCGGAGAUUUCUACUUCUAAAUAUAUUCCCUUGCCAUUGGCAAGAAAAUACAGUGAAGGAAGUAGUUCAAAACCAAUUUCUAAUCGAUGGAUGACAUUUACCAGAUAUCCAUCACCAUCUCCAAUUGUACGAAGAAAUCCAGAAAGAAGAUCUUUCAAUAGUGAUACAAAAAGAAUGGAAAAUAAUUGGUCGGAUAGGGAAAAUCCAAAAAAACGCUCCAUAACCGAAUAUAAAGCAGUUCAAAUUAUGAAACAGCCGAGUAUCGAUUCAGUGAGAUUAAAUCAAAGAAUACGUGAAUUGUACGAUAUUAAAACUGAAAAUGAAUGGCCAAAAAGAUUAAAAUCAUCAUUGGGUGAAAAUAAUUUAUGGAUAAGCAAAAGUAGCAGCGAAGAAGAAAAAUAUCCAUCACAAAAUAAUAGUCAAGAAUUAGAAUUUAAUGAUAGAACAAAAAAAUUAGUGCAACAUAAAAAAAGUACUGAUUCAUCAUUUGAAAUUGAUUGGGAUGAAAGAUUGAGAAAAUUUCAUGAGAAAUUACGUUUCAGUGAAGAUUUGACUAUUGAUAAAAAAGUACAAGCUCGAAAUCGUACUUAUUCAGAUGACUAUGAUGAUUACAGUAGAAGACAAUCAAAUACCGAACAUUUUGAUAAAGGUAUUAAGAGAAAUUCGGAUGCAAGUUCGCGUUCAAGAGUGAGUUACGCUGAAAUUGAUUUUAGCGAUUUAAGUAAAAGAGGAUCAAGAACAAGUGACGCAAGUUAUGCGAGUAUAAGUACCUAUAGUCCAAAAAGAGGAAGUGUCGAGAGUAAAAUAUUAACACAAAAGGAAUUAAUUUCACAAAGGGCUUUCAAUAAAUCAGAAGAGAGAAGACCAAGUACUCCAGUGCCACCAAAAAAAAUGAAUUCACCUCUCAAUUCCGAAGAAUCAUUAAAUCAACGUGUUCCCAGCAGAGUUAGAUGGAAACCGUAAACUAUUAAUAUUUAUGUGGUCAUUUAGAAAAAUUGGAAAAGCAACUGUAAAUGUCAACUGUACUAAUUUGACUGACAGAAAAUCGAGAAACCCCUGGAAGAUCAAAAUUUCCUAGGGCGGAGCACAACAUGAACGUGGGUGGAGUUCAUCUCUGGACCAUCCCAUAUCAAACAUAUAUAUAUAUUCUCCUCCAGCAUCCGUUCUUCAUCUCAAAAAAAAAGAAAUUUUCGAAAAUUGAAUUUUUCAUUUCAAAAAAAUGAAUUUAAUUAAUUUCAAGCUCUAUUGAAAAGAAUAUAUAUUAUUUGAAAUAUCAAAAUUUUAAGUGCGUCUAUAAAAUUGAUGUUUUCUGAUGAACUUCCGGGAAAGGAGAACAAAAGGACAAGAAAUGGGGAGAAAAGACAAUAUUUAAAUUACAUUGGAAAUCUCAAGUUUCUACAAAAUGAAAAUUAAUUAAAACGGAUUAUUAUUUCUCAAUUACUGAAUUUUAAAUGGAUAAUUAAAUUACGUAUAGUAAAAAAAAAAAAAAAAGUCUCGAGAACGCAUUUUCCCAAACAAUCAAAUUUCGAUUAAGGUAUUGUUGUGGUAAGAGCGUCGAAUAUAAUAAAAAAAAAAGGAAGUGCGACCCUAGUUUAAAUCUAAAACUAUAUGUAUCAUAUUAAGGGUCGAUGAGAUGACGAUCCCAUAGAUAUGCAGUCAAGUGACCACCAGUCACGUGUUAGUUUAUUGUGACACUCGAAGGGGGUGCUAAGGAUUUUCCGCAGUGAUGAGUCUUUGAGGGUGUCAUCCUGUGAAACCGAUUAAAUUAUUUCUAUUGAAUCAUUGACAACAUUAACAAACAAUCUGCGUGGGAGCAGGUCCCAGGAUUAUUAUUCAAAUUUAUGGACUUAAGAAUAUUAUAAUCCUCUCUUUCUCUUUCAUUAUCGUCGAUUUGUUAAUGAAAUCUGUGAGAAUUAAUUUUUUCAUGGAAGGCCAAGACGCGAACAACUUGAACUUGUAUUUUAAAGAGAGAAGGGUGUAGAGAGAAAUUCACUGUUGCCAGAAUCCAGAGAAUUGAAGGGCGGAGCAUCCCUUAUCAGUGGAUAACACUCCUCUCCCACAAAGUAAAUAUAAAAUUCAUAACUGCUUCUAUUUCCUUCCACCGUCAAAAAAAACAAAAAUAUAGUAAAA